UUGGACUCAACGCCGGGCAGCUCACCGGAUAAGACAGCUGGAUGAUAGCCGGGCUGAAGACUCUGCUUGACUAGCUGAGAGGAGGUGCAUGGCCGUCGUCAGUUCGUACUGUGAAGCAUCCUGUUAAGUCAGGCAACGAGCGAGACCCACGCCAACAGUUGCCAGCAUGUCCUCCGGGAUGAUGGGGACACUGUUGGGACCGCCUCUGCUAAAGAGGAGGAAGGAAUGGGCAACGGUAGGUCAGCAUGCCCCGAAUUAUCCGGGCUACACGCGGGCUACAAUGGUCAGGACAAUGGGUAUCAACACCGAAAGGUGAAGGCAAUCUCCUAAACCUGUCCUUAGUUCGGAUUGUGGGCUGCAACUCGCCCACAUGAAGCUGGAAUCUGUAGUAAUCGCGUCUCAACAUGGCGCGGUGAAUAUGUCCCUGCUCCUU
rnacentral:rRNA from 1 species